CUGAGGGUAGGGAUUGGUGCUAUGACCAUUUUUGUCACAAAGGCAAAAGAAGAGGGAAGCAAUGUUUCUUCUCCAACGCAGAUCCCAAAAGUAGAGCCACUGUGCUUCUCUACCCUGUGUGAUAGAUUUUAAGCAGAGAUAUCACCGAAUUUCUCCUAACUCUAUGGCAUAUUUGGCACAUAUUUGGCAUAACAUCCAAAGAAAUCUGAAGAAAGCCAAAGGAUUUGGUAAGAUGCUGGUUCCUACAAGAGGAGUGGGAUAUUAUUAUAUAGGUUUUGCACUGGCCCAGAAUACUACAUCAUGAUCUAAAGUGCAGCCAAGCCAAGCCCCAGCUUCCCAACAGUAAUCUCUUUCCUUCCGUUUUGAAAGCUAAAUGCACUUGUGUUUCCAAGCACCAAUAUAAUUGCCUCAAGUAAAAUACAACUUGGCAAAUAAUUUACAUUGCAAGAUUGUGAACACUUAAGUGCAGCGAUAAGCUUCCUGGCAGGAUCAACUAAUGCAAUCUUACCAUUACAUGGAUCUGCAUUGCAAAUUGCUCUUUGGAAAUCAUAAUAUAUUUGUUCAAGAGAAGCUUAAAUGGGAUGCUUGGAUAUUCAGUAAAGUCUGCUUGCUUCAUCAUUGUGAUAUAUAACACACACAAGCACACACUUUCUAGGAAAGCAAGACAAAAGUUUCCCUCUUGAAUUAAUCUUGUUGAGAAACUCAUGUUGCAAGUAUGGUGCCAGGGCCUUACGAUUUCUCUGAAAAAUAUAUUGUUGUGCCAUGCCUAGAAACUUUAAGGGCUGGCUAAGCUUAUGGAUAUCAUAAUUUCACCUGAAAGUCCCAGUGGGCAUUCAGGUAUAGUAGAAAAGGCUUUAAUGGUCCUUAAUGGCUUAGAAUUUUAGGCCUAACUCUGCUCCUGACCAUAGCUUUUCACCUGCCACUAAAGUCUCCCCUGAACAGCCUCCCGUUGGAAUCCCUUUUCCUUGUGCAUCCUGCCUUUUAGCUCAUAAACCUGAGGGCAAGGAUUGACUCAUUCCUGAUCUUUGUAAGCUGCUCUGCAAGCCUUUUCUUGGCUGAAGAGCCGGCUAAAAAUGCUUUAAGCAAAUAAACAAAACAAAUGAAACAGUACUUCCCUUUGUCCAUUCUGAAGCUACUGUCAAUCAAUUUUAUUGGGUGGCCCUGAGAACUUUUGGAAGACUGUCAAAGGUAUUUCACGCCGCAUCAUCCAUACGUUACAGCAUCAUCAUCACAUAACACAGGGGUGCCCUUGUGUGUCCCUUCCUGUCUAUUCCAAAGAGAGACAAAGCAGCCCCAACAUCACGGGGCAGUUGUAAUGCUCUUUCCCACGAAUUUGAUGGAGGAGGCUGCAAUCCAAUGCACAGUGACCAAGGAGGGAAGUGAAAAGAACAGCUGGCAUAUCAUUGGGCUGCAUGCAUUUGCUCAGGAUUUUCUGUCACAAGAGGUCGGGUUUCUUCCCAGCAUCCCUUGCAAGGCUCACAAGCAGAGCUGUAGCAGCCAGGUGUCAGGGACUAGCAGGCUCCAGGGAGUGGGUGUAGCCAGAAGAUGAUCCAGGGGAUAUGGGUAGCGAUUUAUGGGGUUUUGUGAGGAAUGAUAGGACGCACCAGGAGUUGAGGGAGAGACGAUGCCUGAAGGGAGGGGGCUGCCAGAAUCGCCUCUGUUUCCUCCCCCGCUGUCCACUAAGACCAGAAGGGACUUGAAGACACAGUGGCAACUUCCAUGUAGAAGCUCCAGGUUGCUUAGGCCCACACUGUCAGGCAAGGGUACUUAAGUUUUGCAAGUGGGCAUAGUCCCACCAUUGCUCAAACAGUCCAGCUCAGAGCACAAGUCUGGAGAGGGGCACUGGCUACCUAGCCACCAGAGAGGUGUUUGUGUGUUUAGUGCGCCAAAGAACUAAACUACCAGCUGUUUGUCCUUCUUAGGCUGGGUGUUCUCAGGACACCAGUUUUACAACUUGCCGCAGACAAGCAGUUGCCUUUGAGACAGCCGAAAGAAGAUGGUGCUGCAGGAGGAGAAAUCUUCCUCGUGGCAGAGAACCAGCCUAGGGGCUUUUGUUUGUCCAUAUGAACUGAAGCAUUUCAUCUCUGUUACUCACGACAACAAAGAAGCUGGUGAGGGUUGCAAUGAUUAUUUUCUUCAUAUAAAGAAAAACAGGGUACAAAAUGGAUUAUUAUUAUUCCAUAGUGUAAAAUGGAUUACUUUAUAGGCUCCUGACAAUAUCUUUCAUGUACAGUCAUUUGUCUAGUUUAUGAAACUGUUGUCCAUAUCAUUUUCUCCAAAGCUUUUAUCUCUUAUAAUGGUAUUCAGCCAACCCUCAAAAUGACUGCUUUCUCAGAUGCUCUUUCUAUUGCUGCUGUGCUCCAGGACUUCUGCUUAGAAGCCUCGCCAACCUCUUUUCUAUCUCCUUUCCACCCUCCAUUCAUUUUCUACACUGCGUUGGCUGUGAUCCAGAGAAAGGAAUAAGGUGGGUCAAAAGAGAGAGAGAGAAAUUCUCUCAUGGAAUGGCAGCAACAGAAGUAGGAGGAGGAGCCGAAUGCAAAAAGAAAUGAAUUAUUCCCUAACUGAGCUACCCCUAGCUGUUGGAGCAGGUGACCUGCAAGAUGAGAAAGCUAGCAGGCUUUGACCUUGAAUAUAUGAAUGGAGACGAUCAAUCCCUGUG